GACGAACGCUGGCGGCGUGCUUAACACAUGCAAGUCGAACGGAAAGGCCCUGCUUUUGUGGGGUGCUCGAGUGGCGAACGGGUGAGUAACACGUGAGUAACCUGCCCUUGACUUUGGGAUAACUUCAGGAAACUGGGGCUAAUACCGGAUAGGAGCUCCUGCUGCAUGGUGGGGGUUGGAAAGUUUCGGCGGUUGGGGAUGGACUCGCGGCUUAUCCGCUUGUUGGUGGGGUAGUGGCUUACCAAGGUUUUGACGGGUAGCCGGCCUGAGAGGGUGACCGGCCACAUUGGGACUGAGAUACGGCCCAGACUCCUACGGGAGGCAGCAGUGGGGAAUAUUGCACAAUGAGCGGAAGCCUGAUGCAGCAACGCCGCGUGCGGGAUGACGGCCUUCGGGUUGUAAACCGCUUUCGCCUGUGACGAAGCGUGAGUGACGGUAAUGGGUAAAGAAGCACCGGCUAACUACGUG
rnacentral:rRNA from 1 species